CUUGAUCGACCCCAGCCACAAGGGCCGUCCGUCCGGACGGUCCUGCCCGUAGGUGGCCAGCAGCGCCUGCGCCUC
rnacentral:antisense_RNA from 1 species